rnacentral:lncRNA from 1 species
GCAGUGGUCCCAGGGUCCAACUUGUGCUAUUUGGAAAUCAAGACAUGUCCAGAGAGGGUUUUCAGGAAAAGGCUUCCAGUGAUGCCACAUCCAAAGCUUAAUUGCUCCACUGAAACACUGGCAACAAAAAUCGUCUUCUCUUCUCCCUUUGUGAAAAAGGCUUUCACUUAAUGUGGAGAAAGGUAUUAUAUACCAGGGAAAUGGAACUUUGUAUAAAUGAUUUUCCCCCAAGAGGAACUAAAGCAUUUGGAAGGUAUCUGAAUUCAGGGCACUUCAGGACUGCAGCAAAGGGCAUUUGAUGGAGUCUAUAACAGAAAAGAAAGUCCUCCUCUGGAAUUUCUGACUAUAUUUCAUUGGCCACAACUGGAUUCCAUGGCCACCCCUAACUACUGGGGAGGCUGAGAAUUCAAAUGCUGAAAAUUGCAAUCUCCAUAGUGAAAGACACGAAGAAAGAAAUUGAUUGAAAUGGGUUAAUUAAUUCAAUUAGCAACACUUUUUCUCAGCAAAGGAGCUGAGAAAGAAAAUGUUUUGGUUCAGUCCUGGGUAGGGGUGCUUGACAGUGCUUAAUAUCACCAGCACUGAAGGUAAUAAAUAUUAUCUCUCUUUUCUAUCAUGAAUAUGAAUGAUACUCUGAAGGCUGAAUGCAACCUCAGAAUUUAAGUGAGAAAUGAGGCAUGCAACACUUUUGAAAAUAUAUUAGCCCAAAGUCUGUAUUACUGCAUAUUUUAUUCCCCUUUUAAUAUGCUACAAAAGGUUUGAGCCAUCAGCUGAAUGCUGCCAGAGAAGAACAAACAAGAACAAGAAUGCAAAAAUAAAUGCUGGGAGUCAAGUUUUCCCAAGAUGUUCUUUAUAGUUGGUGUAUGAUCACAUUUCUAAGCAGACUGCUUUGCUUCAAGCUCUACCCAUCAGCACUUCUUCCACAAGCCUGGUUCUCCAGGAAGUUUAUCCCGGGCUAACUAUGCAGAAAUAUACGUGGGGCAAAGUGGGUACUGGAGAAAGCAUUCCAUGAACUCCUUCUUUUGCCCUGCUACCUGAUUCUGUGUAACUUCUUCCAUGCCUGAGAUCUUCUCUUCCAUUUUGAGAACAUGAAGGAAACAUGUUUGCUUAAGUACGUUCUGGUUGGGAAUUAAAUAUUUAAUUCUGAUCAUUUUUAGUGUCUGAAAUAUAUUUCGUAAGCAUGGUCAUAUGAUAAUUAUAACUAUAAAAUGUUUUACAUUCUACAAACUUUAUCCCAUGUUACUAAUAUUCAGGAAAUGAUCAUAGGAAAAUAUUUGCACUAGGAUACUAUUCAUUAUUUUAACUCUUUCUAUUUAUACAUAGUUUUAAGAAAUUCUACAAUGAAUUUAUAUCAUCUUCAUAAUAGGGAACAAAAAUAAACUUCACUUUUUCCAUGAGGCUGUUGUCUUCCAAGACCAUACCUAAGCCAAGUUUGGGUUUAUAAAGUCAAAAUCAUGAGAUAUCCCAUCUGUGAACAAAUACUCAUGGCUAUAAUUUGGACGUUUGUUGUUUCCAAACUUCAUGUUGAAAUUUGACCCUCAAUAUUGGAUGUGGGGUGAUAUGGUUUCAUUGUGUCCUCACAAAAAAUCUCAUCUUGAAUUGUAAUCCCCAUAAUUCCCACGUGUCAAGGGCGGGAUCAGAUGGAGGUAACUGGAUCAUGGAGGCAGUUUCCCCCAUGCUGCUGUCAUAAUAAUGAGUGACUCUCAUGAGAUCUGAUGGUUUUAUAAGCAUCUGGCAUUGCCCUUGCUUGCACUCACUUCAUCCUGCCACCCUGUGAAGAAGGUGCCUGCUUCUCCUUAGCCUUCUGCCAUGGUUGUAAGUUUCCUGAGGCCUCCCCAGCAAGGCAAAACUGUGAGUCAAUUAAACCUCUUUCCUUUAUAAAUUACUUAGCCUCGGGUAUUUCUUCAUAACAUUGUGAGAGAGGACUAAUACAUGGGGCCUAAUGGCAGGUGUUUGGGUUAUGGGGCUGAAUCCUUCUACAAUAGGUUAAUGUUCUCCCUCAGUGGUGAGUUCUCACUCUAUUAGUUCCUGCGAGAGCCAGUUGUUUCAAAGAGCUAGGGGUGCACCUCUCCCUGCCUUGCUUCCUCUUUUGCCUUGGAAUCUCUGGGUCCCCUUCACCUUCAGCCAUGAGUGGAAGCAGCCUGAGACCUUCACCAAAUGCAGAUGCCCAAUCUUGAACUUUCCAGCCAUCAUAAUUGUGACCCAAAUAAACCUUUUUCUUUAUAAACUACCCGGUCUCAAGUAUUUCUUUAUUUUGUUUU